GGUUUCUUCUUGUUGCCCUCCCAUUCCUGCUCCUCUCCCCAGCAGGCCUCCUCGCAGUGGCGUUGCGCGACGGUGGGGAAGAGCAGCGCUCCGAGGGACACACGAUUGUGUCGCAUCCCUGUCUUUUUUUUUCUUUAGGUUCCUCAUCCAAAUUAUUUUCUGAUUAUGCCAUGUGAUUGCAGUUCGGUAUGGAUCUAGCCAUCUAGGGUAGCUGAGAUUGGUUCUGCUGCUGUAUUACGUUGCCAUUCGUGUGUCGAUUUUUGUUCUAGGGUUUGAUGUACUACUGAUCUCUGAGGUGCUCUGGAUUCAUUGAGUGCGACUUUGGUGAGGGCUUUUUAGCCCAGUUACGUUGUAUCAUGGCAAUUGCAGGUGCAUGUAGCAAAUUACUCUGUUGUGGUUACUUCAAUAAUAUAGUUAUUUAACUGA